rnacentral:rRNA from 1 species
UACGGAGGGGGCAAGCGUUAUUCGGAAUUAUUGGGCGUAAAGGGCGCGUAGGCGGCGCAACAAGUCACUUGUGAAAUCUCCGGGCUUAACCCGGAGCGGCCAAGUGAUACUGUCGUGCUAGAGUGCGGAAGGGGCUACUGGAAUUCUCGGUGUAGCGGUGAAAUGCGUAGAUAUCGAGAGGAACACCUGCGGCGAAGGCGGGUUGCUGGGCUGACACUGACGCUGAGGCGCGAAAGCUAGGGGAGCGAACGGG